rfam:Phytophthora parasitica P1569 supercont1.3734, whole genome shotgun sequence.
GCCCUCGUAGCUCAAUGGUAGAGCGUUGACUUUGAAAGACAAAGAUCGGUGGUUCGAUCCCGUCCGGGACA